AUUGCUUCUUGGCCUUUUGGCUAAGAUCAAGUGUAGUAUCUGUUCUUACCAGUUUAAAAAAGUAACUAGUCACCAGGCAGUAUAGAGGUACAAAUGACUGUAAAUUAAGAUGUUCUUGAGUCCUGGGUUAUAAGAAAAAUUGCAAAUGUUCUAACAUGCUAGAAUAUUUCUACUGCCAAAUACCUAUU
ensembl:snRNA U2 U2 spliceosomal RNA